rnacentral:rRNA from 1 species
UUCUGGCUCAGGACGAACGCUGGCGGCGUGCCUAACACAUGCAAGUCGAACGGGGAUUUGUUUCGGCAGAAUCCUAGUGGCGAACGGGUGAGUAACGCGUAGGCAACCUGCCCUCCGGCCGGGGACAACACUCCGAAAGGGGUGCUAAUACCGGAUACGAAGUCUGUGCCGCAUGGUACGGAUUUGAAAGAUGGCCUCUAUUUAUAAGCUAUCGCCGGGGGAUGGGCCUGCGUCCGAUUAGCUGGUUGGUGGGGUAACGGCCUACCAAGGCGACGAUCGGUAGCCGGACUGAGAGGUUGAACGGCCACAUUGGGACUGAGACACGGCCCAGACUCCUACGGGAGGCAGCAGUGGGGAAUAUUGCACAAUGGGCGAAAGCCUGAAUGCAGCAACGCCGCGUGAGGGAAGACGGUUUUCGGAUUGUAAACCUCUGUCUUUGGUGAAGAAGAAGUGACAUUAGCCGAAGAGGAAGCCACGGCUAACUACGUGCCAGCCGCCGC